GGUGUAUCUCCUUUGCCUCCCUUGGAGGCCCUGCUGUGGAGCUGUGUCUGUGAUGUGCUCAUAGUAUCAAGACUGCCAGGGAUUUAUUAGAAUGAAGCUAACAGUGGCCUUCUAUGAAUGGAAAGUCCAAGAAUCCAGUGGUUGCUCAAUCCAUGUGGCUGGAUGUCUCAGCUGGCCUCCUGAAGAUGCUGGAAUCCCAAAGAGGACACUUGGCAGUCAUCUUGGCCCUUUGAUGGGGAGCCUGCCUGAACACUGGCUGUGCACGGUGCUCCAAGAAGCAAAAGCAACAUUCCUCAUCCCUGGGCCAGAUGCUCCCCAGCCUUUCCAGUACGUCAGCAAGUAGUUGUCGAUUCAUCCAGCAUGCUUUGCCAUGGGUUCUUUCACUUGCAACCAAAUCUUUAGAUAAAAUUCUGUGGCGAUCUCCAUAGCUCCCCAGUGAUGAGGACAGGAGGCUGGCCUUGCUGGCAUGGAGGGGGCUGCUUCCCACCUUUGGAACCUACAGGCAUGCCUGUAACUUCUUUGAGUAUCAGCUUCCUUAUCUUUAAAAUGAAUAUAAAAAUCCUUACCUUCUGA